UACCACAAUGGCGGGAUCUGUGUUCGCCGCCUUCGUGUCUCGGUGCGUCUAUGUACGUCGCACGUUCGGAAAACACUUUUUCCGGAGUCUAUCUCACAAAUAAGCUGCCUCUCACAGUUUCAGAAGAAAAUGCUGGCCCAAGCAAACUGGCUUAUGCAGUGCAGUGCAGCAUUUUCCCCCACAAAGCUGCACCAACAUGAUCCACACGUGCAUUGCUGCAAACAUGGAAGUCUUCAACAGAGUUGCCGUCACACCAGUUGCACCCAACUAAGCAGCAAUGGUUAGCCCUAGCGGCCUGGGCACUACGGCUUACCAAAGGUGAGAAGUUAGUAAAUGAUGGUGCAAUGGCUGACAACGAGCUAUCAUGGAAGCUUGGCAUUAAUAUUGCCAUAGUGGUAAGACCUCAUCCAAUUGAUUUUGUAAUUGAUUCAAACAAUUUGUUUAAAUCAGUAACAAAUCAACGUAACUGCAAUUUGUAAUUACAAUUCGAAAAGUAUGAGUACAUUAUUUCAAACAACUGAUUUUGUAAGCUCUUCUCUAGCUGGCUUCUGAAACUUCAGGAGGCAGCUUAUGUGUGUCAUUCUAGCAUUGCUGCUGAAGAACAACACAUGCGUGUCGCACUGAACGUGGUGUGCAGAUGCUGUAGACAGCAGACAGAGACUGUCUGCCCAGUUUACCGAACAAAAUAGCAUGCAACUUAAUAAAUGCCUAUGUAAAGCACUUGCAGCAAACUUGUUUUAAAAUUCCAGUUGUGCAUUCAGGAACACAAACAUGUACUGUUCUAUCGGCAAAUGAUGUAGUAUUGCUAUGAGGCCACCACUAAUGUUUAUGCCGCGUACUGCCAAAGCACCACAACACUCAUAUUCUUUGACAUUAUUUGAAGAGAAGUAUGCAGAUACACGGCUAAUUUUUUAAAGCUCCUUUUUUCUUCUCAGCCCCUUUCAUUUCUACAAAGAGCAGUCAAGACUAUAUGCAACAAAACA